AGUUGUUUUUCACCACAAAUUCUUCAUAACCUUGCAGUAACUGCUGAAAUGUGUCUGAUGUUAGCAUGCCCUUGAACUCUUCAGAGGGAAAACACUCCUGCAGAUCUGUUGCCACUUUUAAAGCAGCGGCAUUUUGUUCUUGUGUGAGUGUAUCCAAGUAUGCCCACCAUCGUAGUUUCUGGAGUGCUUCCAUCAGGAGUUUGUGAGCCCGUAUGCUCCUGUUGUAGUGAUGGCCGGAGAUCACUCCAUCGAUUGAGCCUGCGGCCACCAGGUCAGACUCAAUCAAGAUGUCCUGAAAGCCUGCAUCACCAUACAACUUUCCUAUGCAUGACAGAUACGCCAUUGCUGUGUGGAACUCUCCCAUCCUCACUACGAUUCUCUCAGACUGUCAGCAAUGGCAAUGGAGCGGCUCAGGAUGGUGUGGACAGUGUUGAGAUCAGUCGGACUGGCGUCAAUCACUGGGAGGUAGCCAAUAUGUGUAGAUGGUGGUAGUACUGUGUCUUCCUUCAACAUUAUAUUAUACCCUGUCCAUCCAGGAAGGAUUUUGUGCUGGGCCUCAGGUACUUUCAGUAAAAAGAAUGCAGCAUCAAUUCUUCUACCGGUAGUUUGGGCAUAUCUGUAUUGGUCCUGAUGGAGAUCAAUCUUCAAUGCAAAGUUCUGUGGACCAGACCGCUUGCCUCUUGUGUAUGUUGAAAGAUUCAGUGGAGGAGGAUGAACCGACCGCUCUCGUGUUCUCUGUCUGGGUAAUGUGUCUGGUAAGGAUGCUGUAUAACUAUUUAUGGCCCUCUGAAUUAUUAUACCAUUGGUGUUAUGUGUUGUCCCUUUACCUGAAAGAGUCUCCUCUCCAAAGUCAUUAUUGUCCCAGACAAGAGUCACAGGCACUUCAUCACUGAUUUUUUCAGGGAUGUAUACUUCUCCCCUCUCCAUUUGUAGAUGAGCAAGGGCAGUAUCAUGCUCAAGGACCUGGGAAUUAGAUGAGCAGUGACCCAGACCAUUUAACAGCCCUAUAAGCUGUGCAGAGCCAGUCAUAUGCCGAACUGCCAUUGCAAGUGAGCACUGUUUAGGCAUGAGCCACCUUCCUCUGGUUGCCAGGGUAAUAAUGUCCUGACAAGUGGACACUAUCUUUCUGUUGUCCUCUGAAGUGACAUCAACACGUUCAUCUGAUGGUUGUGAUGACAUUCCUGAUAUCCAUGCAAUGAAGUUAAAAAGUUGGUGAGGCACUACACUCAUGCCAUUUUCCAGUGUGAGAUCACUUGCUGUUGGAGGCCAUGGUAGCUUUGGGUAUAUUUUUGAUGUAUUUUGAAUUAUUUCUUUAAGUCUCAUUGCUGCGUGAUAUAACUCCCGAGAAUCAUCCGUGGUGUUGGUGGCAUUUUCUAUAUUUCCUUGACUUGUCAUUUCUCCUUCACUUUCUUCAGAUGAGGAGGAAGCAGAGGAGAAGGCAACUUCAUGCACAAUCUCGUCAGCUGACAGAUUGUCCACAUAUACAAGAUUUUUUGAAAAGCAAAUUCAGCUUUGACAGUCGAAGUACUUCGCGUUGUUUUAACAGCCUCUCCUCAAUGACUGUUUUGCAGAAGUGCUUGUAUCCAUUUUCAUAUAUGUUUGUUUCUGUUCUCUCAAUUUUGUUUGUGGUCAGAUACCGGGUAUAAUCUCGAUAGCAAGUGAAGUGAUACCGUGCUUCACUAGCCACCAAGUCCCUGUCUUGGAUAUGGAGAAGGAGAGACUCGUCCCUUUUCUCUUCAGCGGCGAGUAGCAAUUUCCCGGCAUGGAGUGUUUCACACUGUGUUAGCUUUUCUUUUACCCUUUUCCUGCUGUGUGACUGAACCUUGUACUUCUCAUGUUUGCAUAUAAUGCAUUGUACUGGAAGCAGGUGUGGGGCCCGCUUGGACGUGCAGGAAUCACGGGCGUAAGAUCUCAGAGCCCGUGUUUUAACUGGAGUUGCCUCACCAUCCUCUGCCUCUACCACUAAAAGUGCAAAACAAUAGAUUUAGGUUCUGCACCCUUCCCCACAUCACUGAUUAAAGAAAAAUGGUUUGUAACUUUCAGCAGGGUAUAUUGGUUCCACCUGUUCCCUUAACAAGGGUAAUAAACCUGUUUCACAGCU